UGUCCUGCCUCGCCACGUGUCACGCAUGCAAGCAAAAGAGGUGUCCUGCUCCGCCACGUGUCACGCAUGCAAAGAGGUGAGGUGGUCGGGAUGUGGGUCCCACAUACAGUAUGUGGGUCCCACCUAAGCAGGACAUGGGUCCCACAUACAGUAUGUGGGUCCCGCCCAGGCAGGACGUGGGUCCCACAUACAGUAUGUGGGUCCCACAUAGGGAAGGAAGUCCUAGUCAUACUAGGAUCAUAAUUGAUUUUAAUCCAAUUUGACUCAAGCCAAAUCUGAUUUGGUUGAGCAAAUUAGACAUUUUUACCGAACCAAUUUUGGUGUCAAUUACGGUUUUACCAAUUUCAAAUCAUAUUUGAAUUUGGUCAAGCCCAAUCUCUAUUACUCAAUCAAAUUGAGUCUAAUCAGUGAUCUAAUCACCAAUUAACUUCUCCAAGCAACAAUUGCUUAGGGCAAUCAGUCAAUCACAUUGACUAUUUUACCUCUAGACGAUUCUCAAUCGUCAAUCAGCCAUUUGAUCAAUCCAGAAACUUCUAAGCGUGUGACCUCACAGGUUCGAACCUAAGUCGGUAGUACAAGAA
rnacentral:lncRNA from 1 species